CCCAGACUCCUACGGGAGGCAGCAGUGGGGGAUAUUGCACAAUGGGGGGAACCCUGAUGCAGCGACGCCGCGUGGGUGAAGAAAUACUUCGGUAUGUAAAGCCAUGUCAGCAGGGAAGAAAAUGACGGUACCUGACCAAGAAGCCCCGGCUAACUACGUGCCAGCAGCCGCGGUAAUACGUAGGGGGCGAGCGUUAUCCGGAUUUACUGGGUGUAAAGGGAGCGUAGACGGCAGUGCAAGUCCGGAGUGAAAGCCCGGGGCUCAACCCUGGGACUGCUCUGGAAACUGUAAAGCUGGAGUGUCGGAGGGGUAAGCGGAAUUCCUGGUGUAGCGGUGAAAUGCGUAGAUAUCAGGAGGAACACCGGUGGCGAAGGCGGCUUACUGGACGAUGACUGACACUGAGGCUCGAAAGCGUGGGGAGCAAACAGGAUUAGAUACCCCAGUAG
rnacentral:rRNA from 1 species